UUGAAGACCCCCCCCCCCCCCCACCAAGCUGCCCACCAGAGGCCAAGCUGUACUUGGUGUUUGCCAACAUGCUGUAAUUUCCAGCCUGGUUGCUGUAGCCACAGAGGAAUUUUCAAGGACAAGAACCAGUGCUGGUAAAACUGUGGUCUCUGUGGUUUUCCAUACCGGCUCUCGGCAAGGAUUUUCAAGAAAGGAAUACCAUCUCCAAAUCAUGAUGUGCCAAUAAGCUCCAGUUAGCUGCGGCCUUUUCCCCAGGCGGUAGUCCUGCAAUCUGAAUCCAGGAGAUGCAGCUCUGAAUCCAAUAUUUCAGAAGAAUGAAGAUGAAGCAGACCCAGGAGGAACUGUCUGUUGAAGACCCCCCCCCCCCCCCCACCAAGCUGCCCACCAGAGGCCAAGCUGUACUUGGUGUUUGCCAACAUGCUGUAAUUUCCAGCCUGGUUGCUGUAGCCACAGAGGAAUUUUCAAGGACAAGAACCAGUGCUGGUAAAACUGUGGUCUCUGUGGUUUUCCAUACCGGCUCUCGGCAAGGAUUUUCAAGAAAGGAAUACCAUCUCCAAAUCAUGAUGUGCCAAUAAGCUCCAGUUAGCUGCGGCCUUUUCCCCAGGCGGUAGUCCUGCAAUCUGAAUCCAGGAGAUGCAGCUCUGAAUCCAAUAUUUCAGAAGAAUGAAGAUGUUAGUCAACUCUGUAGUACUUGUUUGUGUGUAAAUGAUUCC